rnacentral:rRNA from 1 species
UACAGAGGUCCCGAGCGUUGUUCGGAUUCAUUGGGCGUAAAGGGUGCGUAGGCGGAUCGUUAAGUGUCUUGUGAAAUCCCACGGCUCACCCGUGGAACUGCUGGGCAUACUGGCGAUCUUGGGCCAACUAGGGGCAACUGGAACAAGCGGUGGAGCGGUGAAAUGCGUAGAUAUCGCUUGGAACGCCAACGGUGAAAACAGGUUGCUGGGGUUGUGCCGACGCUGAGACACGAAAGCCAGGGGAGCAAACGGG